rnacentral:rRNA from 1 species
UACGUAGGGGGCAAGCGUUAUCCGGAUUUACUGGGUGUAAAGGGAGCGUAGACGGAUAAGCAAGUCUGAUGUGAAAAUCCGGGGCCCAACCCCGGAAUUGCAUUGGAAACUGCAUAUCUAGAGUGUCGGAGAGGCAAGUGGAAUUCCUGGUGUAGCGGUGAAAUGCGUAGAUAUCAGGAGGAACACCAGUGGCGAAGGCGGCUUGCUGGACGAUGACUGACGUUGAGGCUCGAAAGCGUGGGGAGCAA